CCUACGGGUGGCUGCAGUGGGGAAUAUUGGACAAUGGGCGAAAGCCUGAUCCAGCCAUGCCGCGUGUGUGAAGAAGGCCUUCGGGUUGUAAAGCACUUUCAGUGGGGAAGAAAGCCUUGGGGCUAAUACCCUCGAGGAAGGACAUCACCCACAGAAGAAGCACCGGCUAACUCCGUGCCAGCAGCCGCGGUAAUACGGAGGGUGCGAGCGUUAAUCGGAAUUACUGGGCGUAAAGCGCGCGUAGGCGGUCUGAUAAGCCGGUUGUGAAAGCCCCGGGCUCAACCUGGGAACGGCAUCCGGAACUGUCAGGCUAGAGUGCAGGAGAGGAAGGUAGAAUUCCCGGUGUAGCGGUGAAAUGCGUAGAGAUCGGGAGGAAUACCAGUGGCGAAGGCGGCCUUCUGGACUGACACUGACGCUGAGGUGCGAAAGCGUGGGUAGCAAACAGGAUCAGAUACCCCAGUAGUC
rnacentral:rRNA from 1 species